UACAGAGGGGGCGAGCGUUGUUCGGAAUUACUGGGCGUAAAGGGCGCGUAGGCGGCCCGCUAAGUCGAACGUGAAAUCCCCAGGCUCAACCUGGGAACUGCGUCCGAUACUGGCAGGCUUGAAUCCGGGAGAGGGAUGUGGAAUUCCAGGUGUAGCGGUGAAAUGCGUAGAUAUCUGGAGGAACACCGGUGGCGAAGGCGGCAUCCUGGACCGGCAUUGACGCUGAGGCGCGAAAGCUAGGGGAGCAAACGGG
rnacentral:rRNA from 1 species